AUUUAUGUUUAAUAUACAAUUUUUGAGCCAUCGUAAAGAAAGGACUGUCUUUGCUCUUAUUCAAAUCAAGAAUCACUCUAAAAGUUUUUAAGCGUUCAAUGAUAUUUAAGCUAUCGAAAUGAACUAAAAUCAACGAUUAAAGAUUAUAAUUAUUAAAAAAUAAUUAUAAUAGUAUAAAAAUGAUGAAUUAAAUAAUAAAACAAAAAUAAAUCAAAAUUAAUCAUGUGCAAUCAAAAAUAUUGAUCUAAUACGAGGACAAUGUUGAAUCAUAAAUAAGAAAAUGAAGAUAACCUAUUAACAUUUCCAUUGACAAAUAUUAAACUAAUAAAAAAUUAAUUCUCAAAGUAAUAAUAAAAAGUUUUUGUUUUAAAAAGAUCAUUCCAUAAUAUAAAUAUAGAAUAUGAUAAAAAAAUAUAAAAAUAAAGUAUAAAAAAUAAUUAAAAAUAGUGUGAACCGUAAAUAAAGAAAACAAAAUCGUCCCCUCCUCGAUAGUAUAGUGGUUAGUAUCCCCGCCUAUGAUCGGAAGAGACACA